rnacentral:rRNA from 1 species
AGAGUUUGAUCCUGGCUCAGGACGAACGCUGGCGGCGUGCUUAACACAUGCAAGUCGAACGGAGCACCCCUGAAGGAGUUUUCGGACAACGGAAGGGAAUGCUUAGUGGCGGACUGGUGAGUAACGCGUGAGGAACCUGCCUUUCAGAGGGGGACAACAGUUGGAAACGACUGCUAAUACCGCAUGAUGUAUCGGAAUCGCAUGGUACUGAUACCAAAGAUUUAUCGCUGAAAGAUGGCCUCGCGUCUGAUUAGCUAGUUGGUGAGGUAACGGCCCACCAAGGCGACGAUCAGUAGCCGGACUGAGAGGUUGACCGGCCACAUUGGGACUGAGAUACGGCCCAGACUCCUACGGGAGGCAGCAGGUGGGGAAUAUUGGGCAAUGGACGCAAGUCUGACCCAGCAACGCCGCGUGAAGGAAGAAGGCUUUCGGGUUGUAAACUUCUUUAAGGGGGAAGAGCAGAAGACGGUACCCCUUGAAUAAGCCACGGCUAACUACGUG